UGUGCCACACUAAUCCAUGCACUUUUGAUUUUAGCCCAUCACAGAACCCUUUGCAUAUCUAAACAAGCCCAAACCUCAUUCUCAAACCAAUGCAUAUAUCCAAUUACAUUAAGUACCAUAGAUUGGUAUCAAUCAGAACAACAAUCAUAAAACUUUACUUUCAAAACAAGCAGUUACCCUUUUUAAUCGAACACAUUUUGAUUCUCAAUACUAAAAUGAUAAGCUAAAGAUCAAAAGAACAUAGCUUAAUCACAUGAUUGAACAUAUGCAUAUUAAAUGGGUGAAUGGCUUAACCAACAGUCCAUAUACACCAAAGACUCAGAUGUCCUGAAUUACUUACACACCACCAAACUAUAAGAUCUCAUGUUUCCGAUCAAAACAAUAUUACGCAUGAAUUUCUUAGGACAUAUUACCCUACUACUAUAUCAAAAUGGACAGGAAUGGCUAAGUAUUAUUACACUACAUCACUAACUUCAGCAAUUCUAAGUAAAUAGCCAACAUUCAUGGUUACAGGAAACAAUAUUUAUUCAUGAAAUCUUCAGGCAACUAAAACUUUCAUACUUGCAUCUCAUCUUUCAUAGAAUCAGGGAAUACCUGGCAGUAAGCGAAAGAAGAAAAGGAAGAACCAACAGCGAUAGCAGCAGGUAAUCAACAGCAGAAACCAACCAAAUUCAACUAUUGAAACACAGGAGAUCAACUCAAAAUCCCAGUGGAGAAAUUAACCCUCAGCCAGCUUGAAUCAAAACUUCCAACAACCAAACUUCAAUCUAUUUUGAAUAUCAGAAUAGGAAAUCUUCUCUUGUUGUUUUUAACGAAGUAAGAAGAAAUCACUGAAGUUUUAAUGGAAUAGAAGAAAUUUUGGCACUUUUGUAUUUUUUUGGAAUUCUGAUCUCUAAUUCUCUAAAAGCAGUCCCCAUCAUCUUUCUUUUAGCACCGCCUUUAUAGGCAAGCUCCUAUGGUAUUUGAAAGUGGUUUAGUUUUUGCUUUUUAGCCCCUUUUUAAAUUUUUUUCUUAUUUGAAAGUCCUUCAAUUUUUGACUUGCUUGCCAAGAAAAUCGGUUUUCAGCUUUCUAGAAGCUUCUUCAACAGUUUCUUGAGAGAUUCCCAAGUGAUCUAUCCAAUUUACAUCGUAUCUCCUAUGUUUUUACCUUCAGCAAAUUCCAAACCCAUAAUGGGUCAAAAUUAGCCGAUGGUCCAACCAUUUGGACGACCUAACUUUUUUUUGAAACGGGUCAACAGCCCGAAACCCAGGCAGACCACUCCAAACUAUGGUUUGAAAUGCCCAAAAACAAACACCUUGCAACAAUUAAAAUCUAGGCUAACAGUUUGUUAACUACAAUCAACUAAAUCAGUAAUCUAGGUUAUUUAACAGCUAAUUACACUGAUUAAAGAAAGUCUAAGGUUAGUCAUGCAUGAACAAAUUGCCCUGGACCAAAUGAAAGGAAAUACGAAGAAGAGAAGAUAUAAGUAGAAGAGAAUGAGAAAAAGAAAAACCAGAAAAUACGUAGGCAAGAAUUCUGAACUGAAAAGAGGGAGCCUCGGUCUUUCAUUCUCUAAAAUUCCGGCCAAAUUUGACACUAAUCGCAUGCUUUCACAAAGAGCACACGACUAACGCCAUAUUAAACCCGAAAUUACAACCAAAUCUUGGCUUGGAAUUUUAUAUGUCUUAGGAUUUCGAUUUCAUAUUCGAGGAGCUUGGGGGAUGUUUGAGGGAAGAGCUCCGAGAAUUCGACAUGAUGAGGCGUGGGGUACCAGGGUGUUGAUUUGGUGGUCUUUGGUGGUGGCACCGCCACCGGAAAAAUUGUGGCGAUGCUAGGGUUUUGAAGAUUUGACGCAUUCCAACGGGAUUUGAGGGAAACGGGGUGUGUCAUGGGAAUGAGGGAGAGGAGGAAAAGGUGUGGUGUGAGUUUCAGGGCUAUUGGAGACUCGUCUCCGCCGUGGGUGAUUUCCGGCGGCGGUUGGUGGUGGCGUUACAGGGAAACUGGAGGGGUUAUGAGAGAUGAGUGAGGGCGUCAGGAGGUGUUUAGGACAGUUUUAUACUUAAGGUACCCUAGCUUACAGCCGUUCGAUUGAGGAAUCUCGACGGCCCAGAUCUUUCUCGGCUAAACGGGGUCGUUUUGGGUGGUAACGGGUGGACCGGACUGGGUAAGAUGGGUUCUGGGCUGGGUUCUGAAUGGGUAUGGGAGAAUUUUAAUUGGGAUGGGAAAAAUAAAUUUGAUUUUGGCCCAAAACAGAUUUACUCUUCAUUCCCCAUCUUUUCUUCAUUUUUCUAAAUCCCUUUUCUUUAAUUAAAUUAAUUCCUAAAUCAAUCCCUAAAACCUAAUUAACUUAAACAAAAAUACUAAUUAAACCUAAACUAUUAUUAACACAAUUAAUUAAAAACAAAUUAAAGGAAAAACUGCUUGAAAAUAAAAGUGAAAAUUAAAAGCGCAAAUGACAUAUUUUUGCGAUUUUCUCAUUUUUAUAAAACGAUUAAUUUGCUAAUUAACCCUAAAAUGUAAAAUUAAAUCCUACAUAUAAAUGCAAUGUAUUUUUUGCAUUUUUCAUGAUUUAAACAAAAUAAACAUACAUAGACGAAUGCAAAUAAUUGACCGAAAAAUGCCACGAAACCCACAAAAUUACAAAUAAUGAAAGAAAUUAUUUUAUUUUAAAUUUAUGAGAGUAAUUUAUAUAGGGAAAAAAUCACAUGCUCACAAUGAGAAUAACAAGUUGCUUAACAGAUAUUUAUUCAUAGCACAAACGAAGCAAAACUGCAAUAAACGUGUGGUCCUUCGCUUUGUUUCUUGUUCAUUUCUCUUACAAAGGUAACAGCAUAUUAAUAAUUAACACAAAGAAAAUAUCUGGGUUAUGCAUAACACAAUGAAUGGUGUUAAUAAUAAGACAUGGCAGGUAUAGAAAUCACUUACAAGUUAAUGUGAAAGAACUCCAUAAGUUUAUUAAAGCACUCAUUUCAUCCAAUAUCCAAAUUACCAUUUUCUCUAGAUUUAUACUGCAAAGGAUUCAUUAACCAUUUUCUCUAGUUUAUUAAAGCACUCAUUUCAUCCAAUAUUCAAAUAUGAACUUGCUUUCCAUACUAGGGCACUACGAAUUCUAAUGAGAAUUGAGAAAAAGAAAUUUGGACUUUUCUAUUUUGUUUGCAAUUUGUUUACAUUGAAAUUAACGCGACAUCCAGGAAUCACAAUCCCAAAAAAUUAAAUUAAGAAAGAAAAAGAGAAUUUGCAAGAUCGAAUCUUAAUCUUUCUUCCUCCUUUUUCCCCUUUUGUUUGUUCCUUUCUUUCUUCUUCCUUAAUCGUUAAGGAGAUGCACUCAACAAAUAUCAAAUGUCUUUUUUAUUUUAUUCUAAAGAUACAACAAGAAAAGAAACUUACCAUCUGCUGAUUGCUGCUCUGACUAUGGCGAGACGGAGAGGUGAGACUGCGAGAGGGAGACGGCGUGUCGACAAGAUAGAGUGCUGGAAGUCGAUGAGAUAGAGUAUUGGAAGCGUGGAAGUAAACGAGAUAGAGUACUGUUGGAUUGCUGGUGGCUGUUGGUUUAGGCGUUAGGAUUUCUCUCUUUUUGAUUAUUUAGGAGUUAGGCGUUACACGUUAGAGAAAGAUUAUUCGAACUGUGGAAGUGGAAAGGUUUUUAAUAUAU
rnacentral:lncRNA from 1 species